rnacentral:rRNA from 1 species
GACGAACGCUGGCGGCGUGCUUAACACAUGCAAGUCGAACGGAAAGGCCCUGCUUUUGUGGGGUGCUCGAGUGGCGAACGGGUGAGUAACACGUGAGUAACCUGCCCUUGACUUUGGGAUAACUUCAGGAAACUGGGGCUAAUACCGGAUAGGAGCUCCUGCCGCAUGGUGGGGGUUGGAAAGUUUCGGCGGUUGGGGAUGGACUCGCGGCUUAUCAGCUUGUUGGUGGGGGAGUGGCUUACCAAGGCUUUGACGGGUAGCCGGCCUGAGAGGGUGACCGGCCACAUUGGGACUGAGAUACGGCCCAGACUCCUACGGGAGGCAGCAGUGGGGAAUAUUGCACAAUGGGCGGAAGCCUGAUGCAGCAACGCCGCGUGCGGGAUGACGGCCUUCGGGUUGUAAACCGCUUUCGCCUGUGACGAAGCGUGAGUGACGGUAAUGGGUAAAGAAGCACCGGCUAACUACGUG